rnacentral:misc_RNA from 1 species
UUUCCGUUGGUGAACCAGCGGAAGGAUCAUUACAGAGAUCUUGCCCUUCGGGGUCGACCUCCCACCCUGUGUUAUUUACGUAUGUUGCUUUGGCGGGCCGCCUCCGGGCUCUCGGCUUCGGCCGAGGUGUGCCCGCCAGAGAACCCACAACCCUGUGGUUAUUGUCGUAUGAGUAUUAUAAAAUAAGUUAAAACUUUCAACAACGGAUCUCUUGGUUCUG